GAUGAACGCUAGCGGCAGGCUUAAUACAUGCAAGUCGAGGGGCAGCGCGGGUAGCAAUACCUGGCGGCGACCGGCAAACGGGUGCGGAACACGUACGCAACUUACCCAAAACUGGGGAAUAGCCCGGGGAAACCCGGAUUAAUACCUCGUAACAUAAUUGAAUGGCAUCAUUUGAUUAUUAUAGCUCCGGCGGUUUUGGAUGGGCGUGCGCCUGAUUAGGUAGUUGGCGGGGUAACGGCCCACCAAGCCUACGAUCAGUAACUGGUGUGAGAGCACGACCUGUCACACGGGCACUGAGACACGGGCCCGACUCCUACGGGAGGCAGCAGUAAGGAAUAUUGGUCAAUGGACGCAAGUCUGAACCAGCCAUGCCGCGUGAAGGAUGAAGGUCCUCUGGAUUGUAAACUUCUUUUAUAUGGGAAGAAAUUCUCGCAUUCUUGCGGGAUUGACGGUACCAUAGGAAUAAGCACCGGCUAACUCCGUGCCAGCAGCCGCGGUAAUACGGAGGGUGCAAGCGUUAUCCGGAUUCACUGGGUUUAAAGGGUGCGUAGGAGGGCAGGUAAGUCAGUGGUGAAAUCUCCAAGCUU
rnacentral:rRNA from 1 species